GUCCACGCCGUAAACGAUGAGUGCUAGAUGUCGCGGGUAUUGACCCCUGCGGUGUCGUAGCUAACGCGAUAAGCACUCCGCCUGGGGAGUACGGCCGCAAGGCUAAAACUCAAAGGAAUUGACGGGGGCCCCGCACAAGCGGUGGAGCAUGUGGUUCAAUUCGACGCAACGCGAAGAACCUUACCUGUGGUUAAAUCCACUAGAACCUGGCAGAGACGCUGGGGUGCCCGCAAGGGAGCUAGUGAGACGGUGCUGCAUGGCUGUCGU
rnacentral:rRNA from 1 species